AGGCCCUGCUGGUGAAUCCACAGGAGAGUAUCCUGUCUACGAGCCUGAAGGGGAUGCUGGAGAUGGGACUGGAGCAGGUGAUCCAGGAUCCGCUCUGAGCUCUGGGACCGAAACUCUGGCGGAUGGCAUGGGUCCGGAAAGAGCAGAGGAUGAACCCGAAAGAGGAAGAAAGUCCCAGGGCUUACCCCGUCUCCUAAAGGAACUGCUGAAGGAAAUAGAGAAGGCACCGCGUGGAAUUGACCAAGAAACUGAGCAGGAUGCACUGCAGGAAGGCAGCCAUCCCACCCUGCCGGUCUCGGACAGUGGAACGCAGGCAGCGCCAACAGCUGGCACGCCAGGGAUGAAUGCCGGGAAAAGCACAGAGGCUGCUGUUCACCAAUCUGCGCGGAAGCGCUACAUCGCAGCCGUGGUAAUGUUCCCUGCUGCGGUGCUGGCCUGUGGUGCUGUGAUAUGGAUGUGCAAAAAAUACUUGUGAGUAGGCUUUUCCCCAAAACACCCGAUUGCUGCAUUUGGCAAUGAAGCAUCUGUAGUGCCAGGAUCCUGGACGGCCAAAUCAGCUGCUGGCAGUGCACUGCCAGGACUUACCAAGUUGCCAAGUCUUUCAAGUUUCCCCUUAUUUCCUGUCAGUGAGUAGUGCUUUCUGAAACUCCUUCUCACAGAGUGCGCAAGAGAGAAGAGAGAGCAGCAGAACCGGCUCAUGCUGAUACCAACUAGGAGAGAGUUCCAACUGGAGACGAGGGCAGAAUGGAGCUGGGAGAGGCAACAGAAGAGACUCUUGCCCCAUCAAACAGGAAUCUCAGCAAUAGUUCCGGUCCAUUCCGUUCUGCCAUCCAAGAGGCCAAAGGUCUUCAAAGUCACCUGGAAGGCCUGGAGCGUGAACUGAGAGCCGUGAAAGAGGUCCACGGGAACAGUCCUGAGUGCUGCUUUCUGUCAGCGGACGGCCCUGAACGUGAGAGCGGGGAAUCAGCAGCAGAGCUUUUGUCCUUCAUCCCGCACUCUCCAGGACAAGUAUCACCAAUAAUUUGAAGAUUCUUAGCUCGCCAUAGCUACCAUCCUUCUGAGGGUCCUGAUGAGGACCCAGAAAGCGAGCUUCCUCCGUCUCAGAUGAUGAACUGGAUGCACCUCAAGAUCUUGUCAGACUUCCUGCACUGCUCCAUCUGCAAGACUACCCCCUGCUCCACUUGAGGUUCAAGUGGAGGUGUGCAGGACGUGGGUGAGCUCCUACAAAAGCAAAACCAAAACCAAAAACAACCAACUAAACACCCACAAUAAAACAAACAAACAAACAAACAAACAAACAAAAAAUCCUAUGCUGCUCUUCCUGUUGGAUAAACUGAGGUGAUGCUUUUUCUAGCUGAGACAUUGCAUUGGGUCUUGAAGUAGAUUUGAACUGGUAGAAGUGGGCAUUGCCUGCAUUCCAUUCUCCGGAUUUUCUUGCUGUUCAGAGUUAAGGUGCCAUGCAUCCACUCCCCUGCUCUAUCUGUCUCCUGAAUCGUGAGAACAGCCUUUCCAUAUGGUGAGAACAUCCUUUUCACAGAACUGGAGUGGAUUCAUGCCCAUGGAGACCUAAUGAGGUUCAAGAAGGCCAAGUGCAGGGUGCUGCACUUGGGUCCGGGGCCAUCCGGGGUAUUUAUAGAAAAUGGGGGAAGAUCUCUUUGAGAGCAGCCCUGAGGAGAAGGACUUGGGGGUUACUGCUCCUUAAGAGGUUGGAAGUUCACAGUGAGGUAGACUACUGGCUCUCAUCCGGUGACCGCCGGGGCCCCCACCACAUUUUUAGGAUGCAUGCUCAAGAGCGUGGGACAAUAUGUUAAUAAUUUCUUAGAAUUCCAGCCCAUUUUUGUGGGACGUAAAGAAUAUGUGUAUGUUAUGUCUGUCAGUAUGUGACCAGUGCUUGUCGUGGUGUGUGAGUCUCCCUCUCACUCAGCAUGCAUCAAGUGCAACUUUGCAGAUGCAAUGCAGCAAGUGAGUGCAUGCAAACGCUCUGGUUCCCACGCUGCACCCACCCCAUUCCUGGGGCAGAGUGGGGUGCUGGGUGCUUUGUGCAGGCGGGGUGUGCUGUAACCCCUCCGCUUUGCAGUUGCUGAGGUUCCGAGGAUGCCCCAAACAUCAUCUACUGGAGGUCCAACGGCUGCCGAUGGAUCUAGAGGGGGCUGCCAAAGCCCAUCUUGAGGGCAUUUGGGGUGAAGUCGCUCCCCAUCCAGCAGCCUUUGGAAGAACAGGCUGGACCAGUUUGUCCUCAUCCCAGAAAAAAACAGUGUAGCCCUCGGCCUGACGCAACCGGAGUGGCCGCCUUUGCGAAAAAGGGAAAAACUCUUUGGAACUGAGGAUUCCUCGAUUCAGUCCUAUUGCAGGGAUCUGGCCAAGGUAGGGGCAAAAAGCCCUAAAAACAUGGGAUUCGCCUUGUGCCUUGAAAUCUCCCCCCUCCACCCAACCCCUUUAUAACUCCAUUAGCACAGCGGGGAAAAAAAACACAAUUUUAGAGUCGAGGAGCCAGCAUUCUUUUAAUCACACCUUUAAGAUUGCGUCCUGGAACCCCCAGAUGAACAGGGUCCCUGCAUUCCUGCAAACAAAUCUUUCCAUUUCCAGUGCUGACUCCUAUCAGAGUUAGGACAAAGUGCCUCAAAAUGCAGCCUGACAUCGCCAGCGUGGGAUAUCAUGGGGAAAUAGCUGUUGUGGGCUGUGAAGGUAAAUGGCAGGAACUCGGCCUCAGUGCAAGUUCCUCAGUUCAGCUCAGUUGCAAGCUGAAACCCAACCCAGCAGCAGCAGCAGCAAGGAGAUAUUGCUGCUCUGCAAACGCCUUUUGCAAAGCCCCACAUUGCGCUGGCAUCUUGGUGCCAAUCUGAAAGCAUUUUCCUGCUCCUGUUUUGCUUUUGGUCUCCAAAUCGUGCUGCAAGAUGCGGCACGGAUGAUUCAGUAAGCAACUUCAUUUUUCCUUUCUGCGCCAUUGAAGAGUUAAUCCUCUUGAAAAUGCAGUUUUGCAUGGGUUUGCAUGCAUCUGCAGCAUUCUGCAGCCAUUGCAGGUGGCGGUGCACGAGGCAUCGCCCACCAGCAGCCCCAGGGAGCAGGUCCCAGAACUGGCCAUACAUUGCUGCUAUGUGAAAAUGCAGCUGCUGGGGAGGGUUGGGGAGCAUGCAUGCACCCACUCCCUGCAAAAUCUUUGCAAGGGGAAUCUUCUGUUGGCAAAAUCUCAGUAAUAACGAGGAGGGGUGUAUCUUCCUUCCUGUACAUCUAGUAAGAUGAAAGUAGAUGCAAAUUGGAAGCAGAAGCCAGCUUGCUCUUCUUCCAUCCACCUCCCUAGCUCUUUAAUUCCCCAUGCUUUACAUGAUGUUAUGAUGUGGAAUACUGAUAACAAAAAUCUUAAAACCAUGACAGCUGCUCACCUUCAGAAGGCAUCAGGUAGGCAGGGAUCUCCAGCAAGGGAUGCCCUCAUUUCCGCCACCAACCCUUAGCUGAAGUCUGGGAAGGGAUGGACCCUGGCUCUUCCCCCUUCUGUCACUCAGGUGCACUGCAAGAAGCUGAGCUCCCCUGGGUUGGCCCUGCCUUCCACCAGGUGCUCCAUCACUGGUUCAGGCUGCGACUUAGCACUUCUGCUACACCAUGCUAUUAGUGUGUGUGGCACAUUUCUAAAACCCUUUCCACCUCCAGCAUUGGACCAACCUCCGUCUCCGGCUAGCAGCAACCUCAAAGUUUCUACAGCAAAACCUGGUCGUAGACAAAACCGUCUUGAAACGGGGUCACAAAUCUAGCAGCAAAAUGCAUCCUUUUACCAGUUCUGCCACUAAAUCGCUUCAUAAACAAGCUAUUAUCCAUCUUCUGCCUCCUUCUCCGCACUUGAUGAGAUUGAUAUUACUUACCCUACCUUGUCACUAUUGCAGUGCAGUAUUGUUUUCCCUGAGAGAAGCCUUCCUUAGCUCUGUCUUUGAUGCCACUGAAGAUGACUUAACCUGUACUGCAGUCAUAGCAAAUCUUCUCCAUCCGGAGGAGGCAUUGAGGAAGAGUAAGACAAGUGAUGCACAGAGUAUGUGAGAUGUGUGAUCAAGUGCCUUGCAGCAAUCUGCCUCCCUGGAUCCCUCCAAACCUGCUCUCCUUACUCUGGAUUUAUUUACAUGGGCAUCUCUGGGGUGGAAGCACUCUGGACAUGCCUUUUUUGAGCAUGGAAGGGUGCAGCUCUUCCCACUAAAGCACCAGCAAGCAGUAAUGUUUCGAAAUCCUGCACUCAAGUGGGGCCCUAAAGAUGCCAGCUGGGCCAUCCCCAUCAGUAAGCAAGAUAGAACCAGCAUGUUGUGCCUUCAUAAGGCACUCCAACCUCAUGACCAUGAGUCCUGCUCUGUGUCCUCCCAACCCUUUCUCCCCAUGCCAGCUUGAUAGCUGGAUACAGAUACCCACCUCCUUUUGCAGCAGCCUUAAGGGGUUGAGGAAUCAGCCCCACUGCUGGAAGCAUGGUCAAGACUUUGUUCUCCCACUUGACGGUCAGGGUGAGGAGCUUCACUUGCCUGGGGAUUCAUCGAGCAAAGCUGCUGAAUACUUUGCUGGGCACCACAGCGGGCCAGCGCCCCACCAGGACUGAGACUUGCUGCCCAUCCCUGAGGAUCACAAACAACUCAGAACUUCUCCAUGGGCACUGACGAGCAGUGCAGAGAGCAAGGAAGCCAAGGCAGCGUUGCAGUCAUCCACCAAAAGUCAGGUCCUGCCAAUCACAGAACAUAUGUUUGAAUGCUGGUCCAACUAUUUGGAAGAGAGAUGAACGAGAUGGGAAGAAGCAGAUUUCUUUGCAGGUGUCAUUGCUGGAGCUCUGCGCUCUCCAGCUGCCUGUACUGGUGGGAAAGGGGUAUGUGAGGCUGCGGCGAAAUCUCUUUACUUGUUUCUUUGUUUUCGUAAUGAUAAAAGGAGGGAAAACAAAUGGAAUCAAGCAAAUAUUUCUGCAAGGUUGGAUCAAACGCAUCUUGAACGUCACCGGGAGGAAAAGGGGAUUCAAGAAGAAGACGGAAUGGUAAUGGGGUUAUUUGAAGUAAACUAACGGAGAAGUGAAGAUGACUCCUGUGCAGCCAAAUAAAAACCAGUAAAGACCAGUAUGGCCUCAUCGUGGUCAACGGAGUCCCAGGAACUAGUAAGAGCCAGUAGGAAUGCACAGUAGGAAUGUAUGCCCCAGGGCCGGUGCCGGCCUCAUGGGCUGG